rnacentral:rRNA from 1 species
GAUGAACGCUGGCGGCGUGCCUAAUACAUGCAAGUCGAGCGAACGGACGAGAAGCUUGCUUCUCUGAUGUUAGCGGCGGACGGGUGAGUAACACGUGGAUAACCUACCUAUAAGACUGGGAUAACUUCGGGAAACCGUAGCUAAUACCGGAUAAUAUUUUGAACCGCAUGGUUCAAAGGUGAAAGAAGGUCUUGCUGUCACUUAUAGAUGGAUCCGCGCUGCAUUAGCUAGUUGGUAAGGUAACGGCUUACCAAGGCAACGAUGCAUAGCCGACCUGAGAGGGUGAUCGGCCACACUGGAACUGAGACACGGUCCAGACUCCUACGGGAGGCAGCAGUAGGGAAUCUUCCGCAAUGGGCGAAAGCCUGACGGAGCAACGCCGCGUGAGUGAUGAAGGUCUUCGGAUCGUAAAACUCUGUUAUUAGGGAAGAACAUAUGUGUAAGUAACUGUGCACAUCUUGACGGUACCUAAUCAGAAAGCCACGGCUAACUACGU